GAGUAUUCAUGGUUAGAGUCUCAGUCUCUAUUACGGGCCCUAGUACACUUCAGGAACUCAAAAGCUUUGCUGAUAUAAUGCAAGGUGAUAAAAAAGUAGAAAGACUUGGGAUAAUCUUGAUUUCUGAAGGCAUCAAACGGGAAUUAGAGAAAGCAGCAGGAAAAACGAAGGCCUUUUUAAGUUCCAUGAGAACUACGGUUUGCAAGACUGGUCAAAACAGUACAAUGCAAGCGGCAAGAAUCAGGAAGUGCACAGAAACAAGAAGCUCGGUGCACACUGGGAUCAGGCAAGCAUCUGGGAGAAGACUGUAGCAAGACUGGAUCCUGAGCAGUUCCCAUGUGAUCCAUCAGGCUCUGAACAUGAAUUUUAAUGGGCUCAGAACCACUUCUCUACCCUGAGGUCACAGGCUGUCAGAGUGAAUCUUCCACAAACUGAUUGGAACCUGAAGAAUUUGCUCUGUCAAGAGAGAGUGUUUCAAUUGAAUAUUGCAACUGAAGACAUUCACUCUGCGUUGAUCACCUAUGGAGUGAUCAAAUUUCAACCCUUUGAAGUUUCCUAAAUGAAAGAGGCACUCUGAAUUCAAAGGCUGUUUGAAUGAACUGACUGCUUCAGCACUGUCUUGUAGAUAUAGUCCAUUCAAAUAAAAGACAAAUAUCUGACUGAAUUUUGUUAGCACGUUAAGACAUGUAUUAUAAAAAGGUUUAAGAAGAAAAUAAUGGCCACAAUUCUUCAGAAAACAUGUGAACUAAUGUGACAAAACACUGUGGUGUUGCAAACUCAAGUGCUGCUCUGGCCAAGUCACCUCGCUGAAAUCUCCACUUCCACUUGUGCAACCUACCAAGCCACUCUCUACACAGCUGCCAGAGUGAUUACAAAAACAACGCGGGAUUAUGCUACCCCUGCUUAUCUAAAAUUUGUCAAAAUGCCCGUUACACUUUGAAUAAAAUACAGAUUCCUCUCAGAUCUC